AAGAGGGCAGCAGAGAGGCUUAACACUGAUGCCUCACAGCCAGAAGGCCCCAGGUUCACUUCCAACCUGGUGCUUUGUGUGGAGUUUGUAUGUUC